rnacentral:rRNA from 1 species
UCUUGGUCAUUUAGAGGAAAGUAAAAGUCGUAACAAGGUUUCCGUAGGUGAACCUGCGGAAGGAUCAUUAUCGUAUAACUGAGGCACAAGGGCUGUCGCUGACUUUUUCGUCGUGCACGCCCAAAGUGCUCUCAAUCAUCCAUCUCACCCCUAUGUGCACCACCGCGUGGGUCCCCCUUUGGCUUGUCCUCAGGGGGGCUUGCGUUUUCAUACAAACUCGAUACAGUGUAGAAUGUCUUUAUUUUGCGGUAACACGCAAUCAAUACAACUUUCAACAACGGAUCUCUUGGCUCUCGCAUCGAUGAAGAACGCAGCGAAAUGCGAUACGUAAUGUGAAUUGCAGAAUUCAGUGAAUCAUCGAAUCUUUGAACGCACCUUGCGCCCCUUGGCAUUCCGAGGGGCACACCCGUUUGAGUGUCGUGAAAUUCUCAAAACCCUUUCUUUUUAAGGAUUUUGGACUUGGAGGCUUUUUUGCUGGCUUCACAUUGAAGCGAGCUCCUCUUAAAUGGAUUAGUGGGGUCUGCUUUGCCGAUCCUUGACGUGAUAAGAUGCUUCUACGUCUCGGGUUUGGCAUCGUGUACCUGCUUCUAACCGUCUCAUCGACAAUGAUGGCGCUUCGGUCACCACCGUUUCAUCGGUGGGAGGCUUGACCCACAAAAAAAACCUUGACCUCAAAUCGGGUGAGACUACCCGCUGAACUUAAGCAUAUCAAUAAGCGGGAGGAAA